UGAACUAGGCAAAAUAACACCGUAACUUCGGGAGAAGGUGUGCCGUUGAUGGUGAAGCCCUCCUCGGGCCGAGCUGUUGGCGGUUGCAGCGAAAUGGGGAUUGUGACUGUUUACUAAAAACAUAGGACUCUGCAAAGUCGAAAGACGACGUAUAGGGUCUGAUGCCUGCCCGGUGCUGGAAGGUUAAGGGGAAGUGUCUGCGCAAGCGAAGCACCCAACCGAAGCCCCAGUAAACGGCGGCCGUAACGAUAACGGUCCUAAGGUAGCGAAAUUCCUUGUCGGGUAAGUUCCGACCUGCACGAAUGGCAUAACAACAUUCCCGCUGUCUCAACCAGGGACUCAGCGAAAUUGCAUAGGGGGUGAAGAUGCCCUCUACCCGCGGCAAGACGGGAAGACCCCAUGAACCUUUACUGCAACUUGGCAGUGAACUUCGGGAUGUUCUGCGUAGGAUAGGUGGGAGGCGUUGAAGCCGGGCUUCCGGGUUCGGCAGAGCCACCGUUGAAAUACCACCCUGAACAUUCUGGGGUUCUAACCUAGGCCCGUGAUCCGGGUCGGGGACACUGCCUGGUAGGCAGUUUGACUGGGGCGGUCGCCUCCAAAAUCGUAACGGAGGCGUGCGAAGGUUCCCUCAGCCUGAUUGGAAACCAGGCGUAGAGUGCAAACGCAUAAGGGAGCUUGACUGUGAGACCGACAGGUCGAGCAGGUGCGAAAGCAGGUGUUAGUGAUCCGGUGGUUCCUGAUGGAAGGGCCAUCGCUCAACGGGUAAAAGGUACUCUGGGGAUAACAGGCUGAUCGUGCCUGAGAGUUCACAUCGGCGGCGCGGUUUGGCACCUCGAUGUCGGCUCAUCGCAUCCUGGGGCUGGAGCAGGUCCCAAGGGUUUGGCUGUUCGCCAAUUAAAGCGGUACGCGAGCUGGGUUUAGAACGUCGUGAGACAGUUCGGUCCCUAUCUGCCGUGGGCGUAGGACACUUGAGAGGAGUUGCCCAUAGUACGAGAGGACCUGGGUGAACGUACCCCUGGUGAUCCGGUUGUUCUGCCAAGAGCAUUGCCGGGUAGCUACGUACGGAACGGAUAACCGCUGAAAGCAUCUAAGCGGGAAGCCGGCCUCAAGACUAGGUGUCCCGUCGAAAGACCUAAAGGCUCCAUGUAGACCACGUGGUAAUAGGCUGGGUGUGAAAGCGUAGCAAUGCGCGGAGCUAACCAGUACUAAUAAGCCGUGAGGCUUGACCCU
rnacentral:rRNA from 1 species